UACAGAGGGUGCGAGCGUUAAUCGGAAUUACUGGGCGUAAAGCGUGCGCAGGCGGUGAUGUAAGACCGUUGUGAAAUCCCCGGGCUCAACCUGGGAACUGCAUCUGUGACUGCAUUGCUGGAGUGCGGCAGAGGGGGAUGGAAUUCCGCGUGUAGCAGUGAAAUGCGUAGAUAUGCGGAGGAACACCGAUGGCGAAGGCAAUCCCCUGGGCCUGCACUGACGCUCAUGCCCGAAAGCGUGGGGAGCAAACAGG
rnacentral:rRNA from 1 species